GGGCGCAAGCCUGAUGCAGCCAUGCCGCGUGUGUGAAGAAGGCCUUCGGGUUGUAAAGCACUUUCAGUCGUGAGGAAGGUAGUGUAGUUAAUAGCUGCAUUAUUUGACGUUAGCGACAGAAGAAGCACCGGCUAACUCCGUGCCAGCAGCCGCGGUAAUACGGAGGGUGCGAGCGUUAAUCGGAAUUACUGGGCGUAAAGCGCAUGCAGGUGGUUUGUUAAGUCAGAUGUGAAAGCCCGGGGCUCAACCUCGGAAUUGCAUUUGAAACUGGCAGACUAGAGUACUGUAGAGGGGGGUAGAAUUUCAGGUGUAGCGGUGAAAUGCGUAGAGAUCUGAAGGAAUACCGGUGGCGAAGGCGGCCCCCUGGACAGAUACUGACACUCAGAUGCGAAAGCGUGGGGAGCAAACAGGAUUAGAUACCCUGGUAGUCCACGCCGUAAACGAUGUCUACUUGGAGGUUGUGGCCUUGAGCCGUGGCUUUCGGAGCUAACGCGUUAAGUAGACCGCCUGGGGAAGUAC
rnacentral:rRNA from 1 species